rnacentral:rRNA from 1 species
AUAUAUGAGGGGACUAAUAGCGAACAAGUACCAUGAGGGAAAGUUGAAAAGAACUCUGACGAGAGAGUUCAACAGUGCGUGAAACCAUAUUGAGUAAAACAGAUAACUGUGUCGUUAUGCGGCGUGUCUAUCAACAGUAUAUCAAGUGUUGCGAUUCGGCGAGUGUGAGCUGUUUAUUCAGACGAUCGCUAGCUGUCAGCAUAGCUUGGGGUUCUGUGUACUAGUGCACGUCCAAUCAUUGAGAAACUAUGCUACUGCGGCAUCGGUGGUCAUCAGUCCGCGCCUAGCGCGAAGUUGACUACUGGGCUCUGCUGGCGGCGUAGUUUAGCUGUGUGACAGCUGUGGGACGCGUUUGUUGAAUGUGCCUGCUUUGUCUACGGAUCGGUUUAUUCCUUUCUGUGGUGAGUAUGGUACAGUAGGCGAGCGUUUCGACAUCAAUGGUUGACAUUAGUUAUUUGACCCGUCUUGAAACACGGACCAAGGAGUUCAAAUGGCACGCGAGUCAUUGGGUUUAAUCACCCGAAGGCGAAGUGAAAUGCAAACGUAUCGUUACUCGUAGUUUCGGCUGCGAAUCAGCGAUAAGCUACUCAUGCUUUCUGGCAUUUGUAGACUAAAAGCGUGAUGUUUGAGACCCGAAAGAUGGGUGA